CCUACGGGUGGCUGCAGUGGGGGAUAUUGCACAAUGGGGGAAACCCUGAUGCAGCGACGCCGCGUGAGUGAAGAAGGAUCUCGGUAUUGAAAGCUCCUUUAGUAGGGAAGAAAAUUACAGUACCUGAACAAGAAUCUCCGGCUAACUACGUGCCAGCACCCGCGGUAAUACGUAGGGGGCAAGCGUAAUCCGGAUUUACUGGGCGUAAAGGGAGCGUAGACGGGUAUGUAAGUCUGGAGUGAAAGCCCGGGGCCCAACCCCGGGACUGCAUUGGAAACUGUGUAACUGGAGUACAGGAGGGGCAGGCGGAAUUCCUGGUGUAGCGGUGAAAUGCGUAGAUAUCAGGAGGAACACCGGCGGCGAAGGCGGCCUGCUGGACUGAAACUGACGUUGAGGCUCGAAAGCGUGGGGAGCAAACAGGAUUAGAUACCCCUGUAGUC
rnacentral:rRNA from 1 species